rnacentral:rRNA from 1 species
UGUGCUAAUACCGCAUAUCUCUCAGGAGGAAAGCAGGGGAUCGAAAGACCUUGCGCUAAAGGAGCGGCUGAUGUCUGAUUAGCUAGUUGGUGGGGUAAAGGCUUACCAAGGCAACGAUCAGUAGCUGGUCUGAGAGGACGACCAGCCACACUGGGACUGAGACACGGCCCAGACUCCUACGGGAGGCAGCUAGUGGGGAAUUUUGGACAAUGGGCGAAAGCCUGAUCCAGCCAUGCCGCGUGAGUGAAGAAGGCCUUCGGGUUGUAAAGCUCUUUUAGUCGGAAAGAAAGAGU